AAAUUUCUCAGUCGUUUUGUGUACUCCAUUGCGUUAACACCUAAAAUAAAAAGCCAAAAAAAAUGGCAGUCCCUGUGGCGGCCGAAAAUUUCAGGCGUGGGAUUUUCGGAAGAGGCCAGGGGACAAGUGUACUCGACACUUUUGCAGUUUCACGGGGUUUCUUGCCGUCUACACAAAUCAACACUAAUUGAAUGGAAAUGCGUCUGGACUACAUACACUCUGAACUGCCCAAUAACCAUCCUCUUCUAUCAUCAUCAUAAUCAUUCUCAACGCUGCAAAAAUAAUACAAGAAUGCUAUAAUACGAACGCUCAUAAUCUCAACUACACGGAAAAUAAUACGAAAAGAAUAAUAUAAUACGAACGCUCAUAUAAUAUCAACGCUGCGAAUAAUAAUAUAAAACUGCUAUAAUACGGAUUACUCGAAUCUGGAAUACACUAAUGCAAGAAUAGUGUGGUGCGUAGGCUGAACUCUUAGAAAAAUAACACAAGACUGCUAUGACACGGAAUACUCGAAUCUGGAAUACAAUAAUGCAAGGAAACUGUGGUGCAAAGGCUAAACUCUGCGAAAAAUAAUGACAUCUAUGAUACGGAAUACUCGAGUGUGGAUCACAAUAAUACAAGGAUACUUUAGGACAAAGGCUAAACUCUGCGAAAAAAAAUGCUGCUAUAUACGAAUCGUUGGACUGGAAUCUGCUGCGCUAAUUGGAUGUAAUCCUUCCCACUUUGUUUAGUACACAGAUUUUGUUUGCGAUAUCUCUGAAUGUCUUAAUAAAACGUAAACGUCAAAGAGGA